UGGUCAAGUUAUUAAGGGUGCAGGGCGGAUGCCUUGGCACUAGGAGCCGAUGAAGGACGUGAUAAGCUGCGAUAAGCUUCGGGGAGUUGCACGUAAACUUUGAUCCGAAGAUUUCCGAAUGAGGAAACUCACUUAGAGUAAUGUCUAAGUAUCAUUAAGUGAAUACAUAGCUUAAUGAGGGGAACUCAGGGAACUGAAACAUCUAAGUACCUGAAGGAAGAGAAAGAAAUUCGAUUCCGUAAGUAGCGGCGAGCGAACGCGGAUUAGCCCAAACCAAUAAAGUUUUCUUUAUUGGGGUUGCGGACAUAUCAUAACGAAGAGGUAUCGUAAUUGAAGAGGUUUGGAAAGACCCACCACAGAAGGUAAUAGUCCUGUAUGUUAAACGAGAAGACUUUAGAUAUGAUCCAGAGUACCACGGGACACGUGAAACCCUGUGGGAAGCAGGAGGGACCACCCUCCAAGGCUAAAUACUACCUAGUGACCGAUAGCGUAUAGUACCGUGAGGGAAAGGUGAAAAGAACCCCGGGAGGGGAGUGAAAUAGAACCUGAAACCCUGCACUUACAAGCUGUGGAAGCACAUUUCUUGUGUGACCGCGUACUUUUUGUAGAACGGGCCAACGAGUUACGUUAAGUAGCAAGGUUAAGCACUUAAGGUGCGGAGCCGUAGCGAAAGCGAGUUUUAACUGAGCGUUCAGUUACUUGACGUAGACCCGAAACCGGGCGACCUACCCAUGAGCAGGAUGAAGCGAAAGUAAAAUUUCGUGGAGGUCCGAACCCACGAGCGUUGAAAAGCUCGGGGAUGACUUGUGGGUAGCGGUGAAAUUCCAAUCGAGCCCGGAGAUAGCUGGUUCUCCCCGAAAUAGCUUUAGGGCUAGCCUCAAGGUGAGAGAUACGGAGGUAGAGCACUGAAUGUCCUAGGGGGUAUUGCACCUACCGAAGACUAUCAAACUCCGAAUGCCGUCAUCUUAUACUUGGGAGUCAGACUGUGGGUGAUAAGAUUCAUAGUCGAAAGGGCAACAGCCCAGAUCGUCAGCUAAGGUCCCUAAAUGUAAGUUAAGUGGUAAAGGAUGUGGGAUUGCACAGACAACCAGGAUGUUGGCUUAGAAGCAGCCACUCAUUCAAAGAGUGCGUAAUAGCUCACUGGUCGAGUGAUCCUGCGCCGAAGAUUUCCGGGGCUAAAACUUACUACCGAAGCUACGGCAUCAGUAAUGAUGGGUAGGGGAGCUUCCCAUACGGGUUGAAGCAUGACCGUAAGGACAUGUGGACAGUAUGGGAGUGAGAAUGUUGGCAUGAGUAGCGAGAUGUGGGUGAGAAUCCCACAGGCCGUAAACCCAAGGUUUCCAGGGGAAGGUUCGUCCGCCCUGGGUUAGUCGGGACCUAAGCUGAGGCCGAAAGGCGUAGGUGAUGGACAACAGGUUGAUAUUCCUGUACUACCGAUAACCGUUUGAGAGAAGGGAUGACACAGUAGGAUAAGCUAAGCACACUGUUGGUUAUGUGUGCCCAAGCAUUGAGGCAGUCAAAGUAGGCAAAUCCGCUUUGAUAAUGCUGGGAUGUGAUGGGGAGCGAAAUUUAGUAGCGAAGUAGCUGAUUUCACACUGUCAAGAAAAGUCUCUAUCGAGGUUAAAGGUACCCGUACCGCAAACCGACACAGGUGGGUGAGGAGAGUAUCCUAAGGCCAGCGAGAGAACUGUUGUUAAGGAACUCGGCAAAAUGACCCCGUAACUUAGGGAUAAGGGGUGCCACCAUCAGGUGGCCGCAGAGAAUAGGCCCAAGCGACUGUUUACCAAAAACAUAGGUUUCUGCUAAGUCGCAAGACGAUGUAUAGGAGCUGACGCCUGCCCGGUGCUGGAAGGUUAAGGGGAUCUGUUAGAGCAAUCGAAGCAGUGAACUUAAGCCCCAGUAAACGGCGGCCGUAACUAUAACGGUCCUAAGGUAGCGAAAUUCCUUGUCGGGUAAGUUCCGACCCGCACGAAAGGCGUAACGAUUUGGGCACUGUCUCAACAACAGACUCGGUGAAAUUGUAAUUCCGGUGAAGAUGCCGGAUACCUGCGACAGGACGGAAAGACCCCAUGGAGCUUUACUGUAGCUUGACAUUGGGUCUUGGUACUACAUGUACAGGAUAGGUGGGAGGCUUUGAAACCAGGACGCCAGUUUUGGCGGAGCCAUCCUUGGGAUACCACCCUUGUAGUACUGGGACUCUAACCAUAGGCCAUGAAUCUGGUCUUGGGACACUGUCAGGUGGGCAGUUUGACUGGGGCGGUCGCCUCCCAAAAGGUAACGGAGGCGCUCAAAGGUUCUCUCAGUACGGUCGGAAAUCGUACGUAGAGUGUAAAGGCAAAAGAGAGCUUGAUUGCAAGACAUACAGGUCGAGCAAGGAUGAAAAUCGGACUUAGUGAUCCGGUGGUUCUGCGUGGAAGGGCCAUCGCUCAACGGAUAAAAGCUACCCUGGGGAUAACAGGCUUAUCUCCCCCAAGAGUCCACAUCGACGGGGAGGUUUGGCACCUCGAUGUCGGCUCAUCACAUCCUGGGGCUGUAGUAGGUCCCAAGGGUUGGGCUGUUCGCCCAUUAAAGUGGUACGCGAGCUGGGUUCAGAACGUCGUGAGACAGUUCGGUCCCUAUCCGUCGCAGGCGUAGGAAAUUUGAGAAGACCUGUCCUUAGUACGAGAGGACCGGGAUGGACGUACCUCUGGUGUACCAGUUGUCCUGCCAAGGGCAUGGCUGGGUAGCUAUGUACGGAAUGGAUAAGCGCUGAAAGCAUCUAAGCGCGAAGCCAACUUCAAGAUAAGAUUUCCCACCGCAAGGGUAAGACCCCAGAAAGACUAUCUGGUUGAUAGGUCGAAGGUGUAAGUGCAGCAAUGUAUUUAGCUUAUCGAUACUAAUAGGUCGAGGACUUGACCAAU
rnacentral:rRNA from 2 species